rnacentral:lncRNA from 1 species
AUACUCCCUCUGUAACUGACAAGUCAUUUCUCAAGGGUCAGUCAGAACACCUGUUAAUCCAGGUUUCAGGUGAGACCAAAAAAGUGCCUCACACACUUCUGAUUCAUUCUCCUCUGCAUUGAAGCCAUGAAGUGGGUAAAGUUCUUUGCCUAUCUCACCUUCUUUCAUUCAGAAGUAAUAUCAGAUAUCCAGUUGGAACAAGACCAAACCCUGACUGCCCAUGUUGGAAGAACUAUCACCUUACAUUGCACCUUGAAAGGAGGGGACUUGAAAAGCCAUCAAAUGAGCUGGUUGAACAAUAUCAUCUUUUCCAUACGUGAUUCUCAAAUCUAAA